rnacentral:tRNA from 1 species
GUGGGCGUAGCUCAAAUGGUUAGAGCGCAGGACUGUGGCUCCUGAGGCCGUGGGUUCAAUUCCCAUCGUCCACCCCA